rnacentral:rRNA from 1 species
AUUGAACGCUGGCGGCAGGCCUUACACAUGCAAGUCGAGCGAGCGGCGGACGGGUGUGUAAUGUCUGGGAAACUGCCCGCUGGAGGGGGAUAACUACUGGAAACGGAAGCUAAUACCGCACACCAUCAGAUGUGCCCAGAUGGGAGUAGCUAGUGGGUGGGGUAACGGCUCACCCAGGCGACGAUCCCUAGCUGGUCUGAGAGGAUGACCAGCCACACUGUGACUGAGACACGGUCCAGACUCCUACGGGAGGCAGCAGUGGGGAAUAUUGCACAAUGGGCGAAAGCCUGAUGCAGCCAUGCCGCGUGUAUGAAGAAGGCCUUCGGGUUGUAAAGCACUUUCAGCGGAGAAGCGUUACCCGCAGAAGAAGCACCGGCUAACUCCGUGCCAGCAGCCGCGGUAAUAC